CAGCCACUCAUUUAAAGAGUGCGUAAUAGCUCACUGGUCUAGUGAUGCUGCGCCGAAGAUUUAACGGGGCUAAGUGUAUAACCGAAGCUUAGGCAGUUUUAAACUGGGUAGGGGAGCGUUCCAUAUAGGGCGAAGCAUAAGCGAAAGCGUGUGUGGACGGUAUGGAAGUGAGAAUGCCGGAAUGAGUAGCGAGAAUUGCGUGAGAAUCGUAAUGGCCGAAAAUCUAAGGUUUCCAGGGGUAGGUUCGUCCGCCCUGGGUAAGCCGGGAGCUAAGGCGAGGCCGAAAGGCGUAGUCGAUGCACAUACGGUAGAGAUUCCGUAGCCGCCGAAGAUUUAAGUAUACUGACACAUGUGAGGAGCGCAAGCCGGGCGUUGGUUGACCCGGUCGAAAGGGACUGAAAUUAUAGUAGGGAAGUGCGUAAGUCAUGUGGCGAGAAAAGGUAUAUGGAUAUUGAAGGCGCCCGUACCGCAAACCGACACAGGUAGAUGAGGAGAGAAUCCUAAGGCCAACGGGAGAAGGGUUGUUAAGGAACUCGGCAUAUUAACCCCGUAACUUCGGGAUAAGGGGAGCCUCCGAAAGGAGGUCGCAGUGAAAAGGCCCAGGCGACUGUUUAACAAAAACAUAGGUCUCUGCAAAACCGAAAGGUGAGGUAUAGGGGCUGACGCCUGCCCGGUGCCGGAAGGUCAAGGGGAACACUCAGAGCAAUCGAAGGUGUGAACUUAAGCCCCGGUAAACGGCGGCCGUAACUAUAACGGUCCUAAGGUAGCGAAAUUCCUUGUCAGGUAAGUUCUGACCCGCACGAAUGGCGUAACGAUCUGGGCACUGUCUCAACAGCCCGCCCGGCGAAAUUGUAGUACCGGUGAAGAUGCCGGUUACCCGCGACUAGACGGAAAGACCCCAUGGAGCUUUACUGUAGCCUGAUAUUGAGAUUCGGUUCAUUAUGUACAGGAUAGGUGGGAGACUGUGAGACAAUGGCGUCAGCUGUUGAGGAGUCGAUGUUGGGAUACCACUCUUGAUGAAUCGGAUUUCUAACCUGCGCCCGUGAAUCCGGGCGGGGGACACUGUCAGGUGGGCAGUUUGACUGGGGCGGUCGCCUCCAAAAGAGUAACGGAGGCGUUCAAAGCUCGGCUCAGCGCGGACGGAAAUCGCGCAAUGAGUAUAAACGUAGAAGCCGGGUUGACUGCGAGACCAACAAGUCGAGCAGGUACGAAAGUA
rnacentral:rRNA from 1 species